GAAACGCGAUAGGUAUUGUGAAUUGCAGAAUUCAGUGAAUCAUCGAAUCUUUGAACGCAUCUUGCGCUCCUUGGUAUUCCUUGGAGCAUGCCUGUUUGAGUGUCACGAAAUUCUCGCCUCUUUUGGUUUCCAAAACGAGUUGCGGUCCUUGGGGGUUGUUUUUGCAGUGGAUUUUAUUUUAUUUUCAUUGCUCCCCUUAAAUGUAUGGAAUCGGGCCUGACCGAAUUUCUAAAGUAGUUACUAUACAACUUUGGAUCUUAUUCGUGUUGAGCCUAUCCCAGAUAUACAACAAAAUUUCUUUCUUUCUGGCCUCAAAUCAGGUAGGACUACCCGCUGAACUUAA
rnacentral:misc_RNA from 1 species